CUCAGUUUAGUUGCACCAGUACUUUUUAAGUUAAGAAAAUGAAAAUUUUAUAUGCUAUUAUUGCCAAUUAUAUAUAUGUAUACUAUUGUGAAAACAUAUCAGGCUCUCAUCUGUGUUUUUGUGAUAAUGACAAUGACAUGAAUCUUACACUGUUUAAAAACUGCCAAAACUAUAAGAAAUGUUUGUGCUUGACUAGAAAAGAUGGCAAAUAUUGUAAUAAAUGUAAAUCGCAAUUUUAUUUAGAAGGAAACAAAUGUAAACCCUGCCCCUGUCUUAAAUCUCAUUCAAAUGGAGAAUGUCUAUAUACAAAUAAUAGAAUUUUAUGUACUGUAUGUAAAAAUGGUUUUGUAGGAAAUUUUUGUAAUAUAUGUCCUAACGAUCAUUA